UUAAGCGACUAAGCGUACACGGUGGAUGCCCUGGCAGUCAGAGGCGAUGAAGGACGUGCUAAUCUGCGAAAAGCGCCGGCGAGGUGAUAUGAACCUUUGACCCGGCGAUGUCCGAAUGGGGAAACCCAGUGCAAUUCGUUGCACUAUCGUUAACUGAAUACAUAGGUUAACGAGGCGAACCGGGGGAACUGAAACAUCUAAGUACCCCGAGGAAAAGAAAUCAACCGAGAUUCCCCCAGUAGCGGCGAGCGAACGGGGAGCAGCCCAGAGUCUGAAUCAGCUUGUGUGUUAGUGGAAGCGUCUGGAAAGUCGCACGGUACAGGGUGACAGUCCCGUACACGAAAGCACACAGGCUGUGAACUCGAAGAGUAGGGCGGGACACGUGGUAUCCUGUCUGAAUAUGGGGGGACCAUCCUCCAAGGCUAAAUACUCCUGACUGACCGAUAGUGAACCAGUACCGUGAGGGAAAGGCGAAAAGAACCCCGGCGAGGGGAGUGAAAAAGAACCUGAAACCGUGUACGUACAAGCAGUGGGAGCACCUUUGUGGUGUGACUGCGUACCUUUUGUAUAAUGGGUCAGCGACUUAUAUUCUGUAGCAAGGUUAACCGUAUAGGGGAGCCGAAGGGAAACCGAGUCUUAACUGGGCGUUAAGUUGCAGGGUAUAGACCCGAAACCCGGUGAUCUAGCCAUGGGCAGGUUGAAGGUUGGGUAACACUAACUGGAGGACCGAACCGACUAAUGUUGAAAAAUUAGCGGAUGACUUGUGGCUGGGGGUGAAAGGCCAAUCAAACCGGGAGAUAGCUGGUUCUCCCCGAAAGCUAUUUAGGUAGCGCCUCGUGAACUCAUCUUCGGGGGUAGAGCACUGUUUCGGCUAGGGGGCCAUCCCGGCUUACCAACCCGAUGCAAACUACGAAUACCGAAGAAUGUUAUCACGGGAGACACACGGCGGGUGCUAACGUCCGUCGUGAAGAGGGAAACAACCCAGACCGCCAGCUAAGGUCCCAAAGUCAUGGUUAAGUGGGAAACGAUGUGGGAAGGCACAGACAGCCAGGAUGUUGGCUUAGAAGCAGCCAUCAUUUAAAGAAAGCGUAAUAGCUCACUGGUCGAGUCGGCCUGCGCGGAAGAUGUAACGGGGCUAAACCAUGCACCGAAGCUGCGGCAGCGACGCUUAUGCGUUGUUGGGUAGGGGAGCGUUCUGUAAGCCGUUGAAGGUGUGCUGUGAGGCAUGCUGGAGGUAUCAGAAGUGCGAAUGCUGACAUAAGUAACGAUAAAGCGGGUGAAAAGCCCGCUCGCCGGAAGACCAAGGGUUCCUGUCCAACGUUAAUCGGGGCAGGGUGAGUCGACCCCUAAGGCGAGGCCGAAAGGCGUAGUCGAUGGGAAACAGGUUAAUAUUCCUGUACUUGGUGUUACUGCGAAGGGGGGACGGAGAAGGCUAUGUUAGCCGGGCGACGGUUGUCCCGGUUUAAGCAUGUAGGCGGAACGAUUAGGUAAAUCCGGUCGUUUAUUAACGCUGAGGUGUGAUGACGAGGCACUACGGUGCUGAAGUAACAAAUGCCCUGCUUCCAGGAAAAGCCUCUAAGCAUCAGGUAACACGAAAUCGUACCCCAAACCGACACAGGUGGUCAGGUAGAGAAUACCAAGGCGCUUGAGAGAACUCGGGUGAAGGAACUAGGCAAAAUGGUGCCGUAACUUCGGGAGAAGGCACGCUGAUAUGUAGGUGAAGCCCCUGCGGGUGGAGCUGAAAUCAGUCGAAGAUACCAGCUGGCUGCAACUGUUUAUUAAAAACACAGCACUGUGCAAACACGAAAGUGGACGUAUACGGUGUGACGCCUGCCCGGUGCCGGAAGGUUAAUUGAUGGGGUUAGCGGUAACGCGAAGCUCUUGAUCGAAGCCCCGGUAAACGGCGGCCGUAACUAUAACGGUCCUAAGGUAGCGAAAUUCCUUGUCGGGUAAGUUCCGACCUGCACGAAUGGCGUAAUGAUGGCCAGGCUGUCUCCACCCGAGACUCAGUGAAAUUGAACUCGCUGUGAAGAUGCAGUGUACCCGCGGCAAGACGGAAAGACCCCGUGAACCUUUACUAUAGCUUGACACUGAACACUGGUCCUUGAUGUGUAGGAUAGGUGGGAGGCUUUGAAGCGUGGACGCCAGUCUGCGUGGAGCCGACCUUGAAAUACCACCCUUUAAUGGCUGGUGUUCUAACGUAGACCCGUAAUCCGGGUUGCGGACAGUGUCUGGUGGGUAGUUUGACUGGGGCGGUCUCCUCCCAAAGAGUAACGGAGGAGCACGAAGGUUAGCUAAUCCUGGUCGGACAUCAGGAGGUUAGUGCAAUGGCAUAAGCUAGCUUGACUGCGAGAGUGACGGCUCGAGCAGGUGCGAAAGCAGGUCAUAGUGAUCCGGUGGUUCUGAAUGGAAGGGCCAUCGCUCAACGGAUAAAAGGUACUCCGGGGAUAACAGGCUGAUACCGCCCAAGAGUUCAUAUCGACGGCGGUGUUUGGCACCUCGAUGUCGGCUCAUCACAUCCUGGGGCUGAAGUAGGUCCCAAGGGUAUGGCUGUUCGCCAUUUAAAGUGGUACGCGAGCUGGGUUUAGAACGUCGUGAGACAGUUCGGUCCCUAUCUGCCGUGGGCGCUGGAGAAUUGAGGGGGGCUGCUCCUAGUACGAGAGGACCGGAGUGGACGCAUCACUGGUGUUCGGGUUGUCAUGCCAAUGGCACUGCCCGGUAGCUAAAUGCGGAAAAGAUAAGUGCUGAAAGCAUCUAAGCACGAAACUUGCCCCGAGAUGAGUUCUCCCUGACCCUUUAAGGGUCCUGAAGGAACGUUGAAGACUACGACGUUGAUAGGUCGGGUGUGUAAGCGCAGCGAUGCGUUGAGCUAACCGAUACUAAUGAACCGUGAGGCUUAACCU
rnacentral:rRNA from 1 species